rnacentral:tRNA from 1 species
UUAGAGAUGGCAGAUUAAUGCCUAGACUUUAAGCGUCUAUCAUGGGAUUCACCCUCUCUAAU